rnacentral:rRNA from 1 species
GACGAACGCUGGCGGCGUGCUUAACACAUGCAAGUCGAGCGGUAAGGCCCUUUCGGGGGUACACGAGCGGCGAACGGGUGAGUAUCACGUGGGUGACCUGCCCUCAGCUCUGGGAUAAGCCUGGGAAACCGGGUCUAAUACUGGAUAUGACUCCAUGACGCAUGUUGUGGGGUGGAAAGCCUUGUGCGGCUGAGGAUGGGCCCGCGGCCUAUCAGCUUGUUGGUGGGGUGAUGGCCUACCAAGGCGACGACGGGUAGCCGGCCUGAGAGGGCGACCGGCCACACUGGGACUGAGACACGGCCCAGACUCCUACGGGAGGCAGCAGU